GACGAACGCUGGCGGCGUGCUUAACACAUGCAAGUCGAACGGUAAGGCCCUUCGGGGUACACGAGUGGCGAACGGGUGAGUAACACGUGGGUGAUCUGCCCUGCACUUCGGGAUAAGCCUGGGAAACUGGGUCUAAUACCGGAUAGGACCACUGCCUGCAUGGGUGGUGGUGGAAAGCUUUUGCGGUGUGGGAUGGGCCCGCGGCCUAUCAGCUUGUUGGUGGGGUGAUGGCCUACCAAGGCGACGACGGGUAGCCGGCCUGAGAGGGUGACCGGCCACAAUGGGACUGGGAUGCGGCCCAGACUCCUACGGGAGGCAGCAGUGGGGAAUAUUGCACAAUGGGCGCAAGCCUGAUGCAGCGACGCCGCGUGAGGGAUGACGGCCUUCGGGUUGUAAACCUCUUUCAGCACCGACGAAGCGCAAGUGACGGUAGGUGCAGAAGAAGGACCGGCCAACUACGUGCCAGCCGCCGCCGAAA
rnacentral:rRNA from 1 species